rnacentral:lncRNA from 1 species
AAAAAUUUGCUGAUCACAGACUAAGUGUUGACCUAUAGUGCCUCUAGCCUCAGUAUCCCCGAUUACCGUAUUAAAAACCAUGCCCUUUGCUGCAUAAUGAUAUGUAAAUAAGGGGGGCAUACCCCACAACAAUUGCGCAAAUGGCAAUGUAGCCAAUGAAGUAUGACUGCCGCGCUUCCACAUCCCACCCUCAGCGACUAUAAAAGAGAGGACAGCUCCCUAAAGUUUUGGAAGGGAAGAAAACUGAACCCCCAAACUGUUCACUGGAGAUUGCUGACGAGCGAGCCUCCUUCUCCCCUCCCCCAAACAGCGACACCACUUUGGUAAGAUUUGCACCUCCAGCAACAUCGGACAUUACGUGGGGAAAUAUAUUAUUAUUGAAAGUGCUUAAUUGCUAGUUUGAGCUCAAAGAAAGAAAAAUUGUUGCAGCAAGUGCAUUUAUCAGUGGCAAUUCCAAACCUGUGGUAUCUGUUGCUUUAAUAAAAUCUACAGCUUGUGAAACUGACUCAGGGAGAGUCCUUGAACAAGGGGCUCUGGCACACCAACCUCAAUUACCAAGCUAAGGAAGGGCCUUUCUUCCCUCCCUUCACGCCACAAUGGGUCACCCGUGCAGCAUGGCCAGAGGUAGAGAGUGAGCUGGGGGGAUGCCCAGAGCAGCUAGUGGAACUGGUUUCCAAGCUCCAACUGCAAAAAGCAGGGCUGGCGGCACAAAAGGCAGCGGGGGAUCUGGGGUGGAUCUUCCUGACUGCACUCCACACCCUGGACAAGGUGUUGCUGACGCAGCACCAGCAAAAUGGGCUGUUGGAAAGGGACCUCGAUGGUGCUAAGGAGGCUCGCCAACUGUCCCAAGAGGUUGCAACUGCAACCGCAGAGCAAGGCAAGAAGCUGGAGCCCCAAUGUGCCAUUCUGGCUACCUACAUUGCAAAUUGCCCACAGCGACAGUGGGGACGGAGAGAUGUCCACCCCGGCGGAGUGGGCACUGGUGCAAAAAGCGGGUCGGGAUCCAGAAACUUGGGAUGGCAAUAUAUGGGACUCCAACCACCUAAAACAAUAGCUGGCUUUUGGCACUUACUCUUUUUUACAAGCUGACACCUUGCCUCCUCAGACAUUGGCACAAAAAUCACCCUSCCCCUGACAAGGUUCACACACCAUCAAGGAAGCAGCCACAACUUCUCUUGGGCCCCUCCGGCUUUCUUGCAUGCCUACUCCAGUYAAACAAGAACUGUAACGCUGAGGUUCAGUGUUUUGCAAUGAUGUUCGUCCUUCAAGUUAGGAACAUCUUGGAAAUACACUAUGGGGCUGGGAGCGCCCACUGCUGAGCAGAGCGCCAGCAAGAGCUGUCCCUCCAGUGCUCGUCUCCCCAGUGGCUCCCCGUCCAGACACCCUUUCUCAGCAGCGGUGGGGAGCGGGUGCGGAGCGGCCCGCGAGCCCCGUGAGCCUUGACACACCUCCUUGCCGUGGUCACAUGAAGGUUGGCAGCGUGGUGA